rnacentral:tRNA from 1 species
CAAAAGGUAAGCUAAAUAAGCUAUUGGGCUCAUAACCCACCAAUGGACACUAUCCUCUUUUGA